rnacentral:lncRNA from 1 species
CCUAGAUAUAUAAAAUUCAAAUGAAUUUUAUGGUUUAUAAUAUCUAAAACUAAGCUGAAUUUUGCUUUGUACUUUUAUUUGUCCCUGCAGAAGAUAGUGAAAUAAACAAACAGUUGCGUCUCACUUGAUAUAGUCCAUUCAGGUACAAAGUUCAGAUUAUUGACCCUCUAUUGUCCCUCUCAAUCAAUAGAGUUCACUUAAAGUAUUACUAUUAAUGGGGAAUUUCUGAAACCUCUUUCCACAGUUUUGUUCAUUUUGGCACCUUCUGGAGGAAUGAAAAUAAUG